AUGCAUCCCAAGGAUCUCUGAGCAUGAGCCAGGGUGGCCCAGGGGCUCACAGGAAUUCCCCUUCUGCUCUGAGCCCACCAGAGCUGGCUAUACAAUGAUAACUUCACCCCCCUCGCCCCCCAUGGGCAGCACCUGCUCCCUGGGUCUCCCCUGGUGGCCCUAUUAUCCCGCACCUGCUGCUUCCCCACCUGCUCCCUAUUCUUAGCCCCCUCCCCAUAGCACACCCUGUUCAUCACUAGGCCCAGCUGCCUGCUCUGACAGCCAGCCAGGAAGGGGUAAUAGAACCAGGAGAGGUAGCAUGGAGGGCCCAAGGACAGAGGGUCCAGAGGCCAGUCCAGCUCUGUUUGACUAGUAGUGUGUAUGCUUACAAUGGACUCCAUCUCAGGGCCUCAGUCUCCCCACCUGUGAAGUAGGAACCGCAAGCCCUGACCUCAACUUUCUACAAAAACUUUACUGCUUGGAAGAUCUUAGGCCAUCGUGUUUCAAGAUCUGAGUUACAGAGGACAACCAGGUUGGGGAGAGGAGGGAGGUGAUGUGCCUUCGGCUGUAUUCCCAGGGCUAUGUCUGUUAGACUACAAGGAGGCCAGGGCAUUUCUCUGAUUACUGAAGAAUCCUUUGUGGGCUAUUUAAGUAAGGUGUGGACCCAGCCUGGGUGCCAGGCAACAGGUAGAUGAAUAAGGAAACUGUGAUUAUACAACAUGGAGGCUUAUCCUACCGCAAGAAUCAGUGCUGUGUGCAGGAAAAGAAAUGGGGCUGCAAAGCCUUGUGUUACAUCAAAGAAGCCAGAUGCAGAAAGACAGAAGCCACGAUCUCUCCCACGAAAGAAGUGGACCAUGAGGACAAAGAGCGGGACAAGGGAGGGUGACGCAACCUUCACGUGCAUGAAGAUGCUAAUGGUUCAUAUUUUAUAUCCUGAAGAAAGAAAUCAAAAGAACUAAAACAAUCCCCAUAGUUAAAACAGAACAAAGCAGAAAAAAAGAAUCACUUCUGGGGCUGGAGGUGAUGUUUCUGAAAAAGGGUCCCGAGGAACUGAAACCACAGUGAUGUGUCACAGAGAAAUGACAACUCACUUUGCCUUGGUAUAGAAUUCAGACUGGUCUUGAACUUCUUAACUACAGACUACCAAGUUUUGGGAUCACAGGUAAGGGCCAGAUCCUCAGGUG
rnacentral:lncRNA from 1 species